rnacentral:lncRNA from 1 species
UUUUGUAGAUAAAAAGCAUAUACAGUUUAAAACUUGUAUAAAACAUCAAUUCAACAGUCACCUCGAAUAAACAAUUAGCAUAUUUACACAUAACACGUAUUUCAAGGUAAAUACUUCAUAUCUAUGUGUAAAUUGAAAGUAACUACACACUCACGUAUUUUGCUGAAAAUCGGGCAGCAAUUCGUUUCCUAAAACGAUCGUUUCUAAUAAAACCGGGAGUUUUAUUGAGAAACCAGGCUCUGCGAAAGGUCGGGCUUAGAAACCGAAAAGAUAAAUUUUCCGGGAUUCUCGUGCACUUCGUGGGGUAUUCUGGGCUUUACAAUUGAUACUGGGGCUUUGCGGGAUGUUAAGAUGAAGAAAAUAUGGGGUUUAGGGGUUAAAAGUGACAAAAUUCCAAAAGUAACCGGGAACCCUCGCAGGUACCCUUCUAUUUAUAGGGUCUGAAGUUCUGAUCCAAUGGCUGAGAAGUCUCUUGAUCCGACAGCUAAGAAGGCUCGCAGAGGGGGUGGCUCGCACAUGGAUCGCACAUGCGAGGGCUCGCUGGCGGCUUCUAAGUGGACCGCGACUUACUGGCGCACCUGCGAGGCUCGGAGCUAGGCUAUGCGAGGCUCGGACACACGCGGCAGCUGGGCGAAGCUUCGGCUGGGGAGCUGGCUACUUCGGAUUGGGCCUCCUCCUCGGUCGAAUCAGAAGAGGACACGUGGCUCGCAUGACUCAGCAGCCUCGGUGACUCAGCAGCCUAAUGACUCAGCAGCCAGGUGACUCAGCAGGACACGUGUCACUUUCUAAGCGAGGGUGACGUGGCAAUUGUGACUAUGCGAAAUUUCUCGGUUUUCGUGCCAAAACUUCUAAAAUCCAUAACUUUCGCAUACGAGCUCCGUUUUUGACGUUCUUUAUAUGCACGCGUAGCUAAAAUUACGAUCUACAACUUCCGUUUAGACUUCGUCGGCUAAUUUUGAAUUUAAAUUUUAUAUUAUUAUUUUUAACAGACCGGGACAGGAAAUCCGUUAAAAAUUCAUAACUUCUUCAUCCGACGUCCGUUUUCGUCAGACUUUUUACCGUUGUGCUCCUAAUGACGAGACCUUCAAUUCUCGUUUAGGUUGUGUCGGCUAAAAAUCGCUCGAUCUAAAAUUCGAGUUUUUAGCUGUCUACUGCUACGCUGAAACUUCGAAAAAUCAUAACUUCCUCAUACGAAGUCAGAUUUGGGCGUUCUUUUUAUCGAACUUCUCGGUUUAACGAAUACUACGACUUUCGUUUAGAUUACUAAGGCUAAAAAGUAGUUUAUCAAAAACUCACUUUUUACGACAUUCAGCACCGUGCCGGUUUUGUCGCGAAACUUCGACAGGUCAUAACUUCUUCGUUAUAACUCGGAUUUUGGUAUUCUUUAUAUCCCCGAAAUCCUUGUUUCGACCACUACAACUUUAUGUAAAGAUAUCGGGCUUAUCUCACACUUUAAUUUUGACGCUUAUUUUUAUUCUUAAUUAAUUAAGCCCUAAUAAUUAAGCAUAAAACACAUAAUUCACAUAAUAUUCACAUAAUUCCUUUUCAUUUCUUCAAAAUGAGUUACAAAGGUUAACCUAGACUAUCAACUCAAUAUAAAUGCCUAGGCUAGAAACACGAGUGUUACAAUUCUCUCCCCCUUAGGAUGAUUCCGUCCCCGGAAUCACAUAUCACCAAACAACUGCGGGUAGCGACUCAUCAUGUCACUCUCCGUUUCCCAAGUGAGAUUUGGUCCAUUCGUAUGUUUCCAGCGCACAAGCACUAAAUCGACCAUCUUGCGUCGUAACUUCAUAGUCUUACGGUCAACGAUUGCCUCAGGUUCUUCGAUCAACCUCUUGUUUUCAUCCAACCUUAACUCAGAAAUCGGAAUUAUGUCGGGCACAUCUCCUGUGAACUUUCUCAAAUAACACACAUGAAAGGUGUUAUGAAUACCCUCUAGUUCUUCCGGUAACUCUAGCUUGUAAGCUUGCUUCCCGAUCCUCUGAAGAACUUUAAAGGGUGUAAUAAACCUUGGACUCAACUUUCCUCGUUUCCCUAAUCUUAUAAGUCCCUUCCACGGCGAGACUUUAAGUAAAACCGAAUCUCCAACUUCAAAAGUUAUCGGUUGUCUUUUCUUGUCAGCAUAACUCUUUUGUCGAUCUUGAGCAGCUAACAUCCUUUCCCAUAUCACUUUCAACUUUUCAGCAGUCUGAUGGACUAUUUCAGGUCCCAUAAACUGCUUUUCCCCAGCUUCCAGCCAACAUGAUGGCGUUCGACACUUCUCCCCAUACAAAGCGUGAUAAGGUGCCAUCUUAAUGCUUGAGUGGAAACUAUUAUUAUAGGAGAAUUCUACUAAAGGUAAGUGUUCAUCCCAGUUACCUUGGAAUUCUAGGGUACAUGCUCUCAGCAUAUCCUCCAAUGUUUGAAUCGUUCGCUCGCUCUGACCAUCGGUUUGCGGAUGGUAAGCUGUACUCAAACACAACUUGGUACCCAAUUCCUCUUGUAGACUCCUCCAAAACCUUGAGGUAAAACGGCUGUCACGAUCGGACACAAUCGUUAACGGAACACCGUGAAGCCUCACAAUUUCCUUCACGUAAGAAUUCGCAAGUUUAUCCAUAGACCAUUUCUCUUUGGCCGCUAUGAAAUGCGCACUCUUAGUGAAGCGAUCAACGACCACCCAAAUCAUGUCGUGACCGUUCCUUGUUCUGGGCAGUUUAGUCACAAAAUCCAUGGUGAUGUCUUCCCAUUUACCCAUGGGUACGGGUAAAGGUUCUAAACUCCCAUACGGUUUCUGAUGUUGUGCCUUAACCCUAGCACAAGUUACACACUCGGCCACAUACUUAGCAACAUCGAGCUUCAUCGUCGGCCACCAAUAAUAGGGUUUUAGAUCCCUAUACAUUUUCGUACUGCCGGGAUGAAUUGAGUACAUGGUCUUGUGAGCUUCUUCCAUCAGAAGAUCUCUUAUUCCGCCCGUCUUAGGUACCCAAAUUCUAUCUUGAAAUACCUUCAACCCUUGGUUGUUUGUACCGAACACUAACGUUUUGCCCAAACGUUCUUCCUUUCGGUCAUUUUUCUCUAAAGCUUCCUCUUGAGCUUUCUUUAUACUUUCCACAAUUGUCGAGACAACUUCAAUUCUCAACGCUCUUGGCCUUUUCUUUUCAAGGUUUACCUUCCGACUGAGAGCAUCGGCAACAACAUUUGCUUUACCAGGGUGGUAAAGUAUCUCACAGUCGUAGUCCUUGAGUAACUCUAGCCAGCGUCGUUGCCUCAUGUUCAAUUCCUUCUGAUUAAAGAGAUAUUGGAGACUCUUAUGAUCAGUGAAAAGUUUACACUUGGUGCCAUAAAGAUAAUGCCUCCAUAUCUUCAAGGCAAAUACUACCGCUGCCAACUCCAAAUCAUGAGUGGGGUAGUUCUUUUCAUGUUCCUUCAAUUGCCUCGAUGCAUACGCGAUCACUUUAUCCCUUUGGGUCAGAACACAACCUAACCCAACUCCGGAUGCAUCGCUAUAAACUGCAAAGUCAUCAACUCCUUCAGGCAAUGAAAGAAUCGGUGCUUCACACAAUCUCUUCUUCAACUUCUCAAAGGCUUCCUUAUGCUUCUCAUUCCAAGCAUAAGUGGCUCCUUUGUGGGUCAAAGCUGUUAAUGGAGUAGCAAUCGAAGAAAAGCCUUGGAUAAACCUUCGGUAAUAUCCAGCUAAUCCUAAAAAGCUUCGAAUCUCCGUAGGACUUUUUGGUUGUUCCCACUUCAUUACAGCUUCAAUCUUUGCUGGGUCGACCAUUAUCCCUUCUUGGUUAACCACAUGACCUAAAAAUUGGACUUCUUGAAUCCAAAAUUCACACUUGGAGAACUUUGCAUACAGCUUCUCCUUUUUCAGGACUUCUAGCACUUCACGCAGAUGCUUUUCAUGCUCCUGCUUGCUUUUCGAAUAAAUCAAGAUAUCAUCUAUGAAUACUAUCACGGAUUUAUCUAAGAAUGGUUUACAAACCCUAUUCAUCAAAUCCAUGAAAGCUGCUGGGGCAUUGGUUAGUCCGAACGACAUAACCAAAAAUUCAUAGUGUCCAUAUCUCGUUCUAAAAGCAGUCUUUUCGAUGUCCUGCUCUCUCACCUUUAGUUGAUGGUAUCCCGACCUAAGAUCGAUCUUCGAGAAAUAGCUCGAACCCUGCAACUGGUCGAACAAGUCAUCGAUCCUUGGCAACGGGUACUUGUUCUUUAUCGUCACUUUGUUCAGCUCUCUGUAAUCGAUGCACAUUCUCAUGCUUCCGUCUUUCUUCUUUACAAAUAACACAGGGGCUCCCCAGGGUGAUGAACUAGGUCGAAUGAAACCUUUGUCCAAUAACUCCUGAAGUUGUGUCAUAAGUUCUUUCAUUUCGGUUGGCGCUAAUCGAUAAGGUGCUUUCGCUAUCGGCGUCGUUCCUGGUAACAAGUCGAUACGAAAUUCUACUUGUCGAUCAGGGGGCAAUCCGGGAAGAUCUUCGGGAAAGACUUCCGGAUAAUCACACACCACCGGAAUAUUCUGCACCUCCUUCUUUUCCAUCUUGGCAUCGAUCACGAACGCUAGAUAUGAUGUACAUCCCUUGGCCAAACACUUUCUGGCUUUCAUUAGGGAAAUGAUUCCAGAGUUUACUCUGCGUUUGUCUCCGUACACCAUAAACGACUCUUUCCCUGGCGGGUUUACUUUUACUAUCUUCUUUCUACAUAGUAUUUCUGCGUCGUUGGCGCUAAGCCAAUCCAUUCCUAAAACUAUGUCGAAUCCAUUUAACUCGAUAGGCAAUAAUUCCUCUUGGAACUUAUUCCCAUCCAAGUCAAUGAGGAUGUUUUUCAUACGAUGGCUAACAGGUACAAACUUGCCACUAGCAAUCUCGACUAUUAUAGCAUUAACUAGCAUAUCUACAGGCAAAGCUAGCUUUCUACCAAAUUCAUGCGAUAUAAAGGAGUAAUUGGCUCCAGAAUCAAACAAAAUUUGGGCAGGCAAUUCGUUUACGAGAAAGGUACCUGAAGCAACAUCGGCUUCUUCUUUCGCAGCUUCGAGGGUCAUCUGAAAGGCUCUCGCCUUCGGCUUUGGUGGUAGAUUGGGUUUUGCUGCGUCCUUCUUCUUCGGGCAGUCCCUCAAAAUAUGCCCUUCUUCAUUGCACCCAAAACAUACGUUCUUAUUGAAGGUGCAUUCAUUGGCAUAAUGCCCUGGCUUUCCACAUUUGUAACAAGUGACUUCCACGCUGCACUUCCCAGCAUGUUUCUUCCUACACUUGUCACACCACUUGGCUUCGCUUCCUCCUCCAAACUUUCUCGAACCAGUCUUCGAGAAUUUGUUCUUUUUAUUGGAACCUGAAGUUCCUUCAAACUUUCUCUUUUCGCCAACUUCAACCUUGCUGGCGGCUCUCCCUUUUAUCAUAUCUUCAACAGACUUGGCAGCCCAGAUAGCUGCCUCCAAAGUAAGUGCCUGACGUACUGGCACCGCAUACUCCCAUGGAAGUCCCUUUGCGUACCUGUCUAUUUUUGCCAACUCAUCUGGGACAAUACGCAAAGCAAACUCCAUUUUGUCUGUGAAGUUAUUUGUAUAUUCGUCAACGGUCAUACUCCCCUUCUGCAACGUUAGAAAUUGGUUUUCUAACUCAAGUACGUUUUGGGCCGAGCAGUACUUGCGCUUGAAGUGCACUAAGAACUCUGCCCAAGUUAAUUGCAGUGGCUCAUUAGGGCUUAGGGUUUUCCCCAAAGUGCUCCACCAACGAGCAGCACUACCCCUGAACUGACGUACUGCAAACGUAGUUUGUAACUUGCCUUGGCAAUCACAAGUCAUGAAAGCCAACUCCAUUUCCGAGAUCCAGUCCAUUACUCCGACAGGAUCUUCUUUUCCAUUGAAGGUCGAUGGCUUGCAAGUCAUAAAGUCCUUAUACUUGCACCCAUUUCUCUCCACUCUACCCUCGUGGUUAUUCCUCCCAACCACAAGCGGUUCACUAUGACCAACCGAUCUGCUAUUGUUCCCUUCUUCAGAUCGAUCGUCAUUUAGUUCACGUUGUUCAACAGGAACUGAAGGUUCAUCCCUGUCGUUCAGCAACAUUUGCCUCAAUUCCUCCCUCUGUUCAGCCAACAUGGCCUGAAUCAUAGUUCGUACUCCAGCCAUAGUGAUGGGUUCGGGUGCAGCUCCUACUAUAGGCACCUGUUCCACCACUGGAGGUUGAGGUUGUUGGUUUCUGUUUGCAUUUCCAGCUCCACUCCGAGUUCUUGCCAUUACAAUCUAUAUACCGAAUAAGGCGAAAUUUAGGUCUUUAUCCUUGUUAGACAUGUCAAUUCCCUUAUCACUCCGAAACGUUUACAUGUUAGUUCUAAUCUCGUAUUCAUACGCUUAGAAUCCUACACACAUAAGGUUUCCAGAUCCGGUCGGCAACAGACCAUAGAUCCGAACAAAUAAUGGCACACAUGGCAAACACAUAGCAUUUAGCACAUAAGGGCAUUUUAGGCAUCUUCCCUAAAAUAAACUAGUGCUCGUGUCUAAAAUAUGGUAGACACUCAUCUCACAAUCAUCACUUAGCAUUCUAAGUUCAAGUCUAGAAAUUCUACAAUUUCUUAGUUCGCUUAAACUAAUGCUCUGAUACCAACUGUGACAUCCCCAUAUUUCUCGGCCAGAAAAGACCGAUUUAAUUUAUGCUUUUUAAAAUAAAAUCAGAGAAAUCUUUUUAUAAGAUAUUGCGGAAUUGGUCCCCAAACAAUAUAUGAUAAAAGUUUAUCAAAAUCCUUCAUUAAGAAGGUAUAUAUUUUAUAUAUAUAUAUCAAAACCUCGGGAUGUCAUGUUCCGAUACAGAUCAAAAGCAUAAACAAGACAUUAUAAGCCUUUCAACAGUUAUUUACAACUACUGGCCUAUAAUCCAAAAAUCUCUCGUCAUCCUCCGACUAUGCUCGGGGUCCACUACCUGUAAUCAUAAAACUGAGUGGGUCAGGCUUGGGAGCCUGGUGAGCAUAUAGGGUUUUCAACCCACAAUAAUAAUAUACUUAUUAAGUUCACCAAUCAACAAUAACCCUGAUUACCCAUUCCCGUUGUCCUCACUUUACGUCCCUAAACACCUAUCACAAGGGACCUAGCCUAAGGAUUAUCAUCGGGAUGGACACUACUGCUAAGGGGUUUCCUCAGCCAUACAUGUCCUUAAGGCAACCAUGAGGGGGAUGAAGUACACCAAUGAACAUUUAAUUCAUCAACACCUACAAGUUGCGAACCUGCUAGUGUUCCACUGGACUAUCUAGAAAGUCCGUGGUCGUCAUCUAUACUUCGCUAGAUGACUACAACAACAACAACAACAACAUCGAGGCCUCUCACCAUUUUAACACACAUCAACUAUUUCAUCUACCCAUGUUCUACCCAACAUAUUUUGUAGAUAAAAAGCAUAUACAGUUUAAAACUUGUAUAAAACAUCAAUUCAACAGUCACCUCGAAUAAACAAUUAGCAUAUUUACACAUAACACGUAUUUCAAGAUAAAUACUUCAUAUCUAUGUGUAAAUUGAAAGUAACUACACACUCAUGUAUUUUGGUGAAAAUUGGGCAGCAAUUCGUUUCCUAAAACGAUCGU